rnacentral:rRNA from 1 species
GAUCUGAGAGCAAGAUACGAUCCGGAGAUAGCCGAAUGGGGAAACCUAACACGAGUCAUGUCGUGUUGCCGUUACCUGAAUAUAUAGGGUAAUGAGACGGGAACCAGCCGAACUGAAUCAUCUUAGUAGGUUGAGGAAAAGAGAAUAAACAAUGAUUCCGAAAGUAGUGGCGAGCGAAAUUGGAACAGUCCAAACCUUUCAAGUUUCUUCGUAUAUCACUGUGUUUACAAUACACAGCACCAAGCUUCGAGCACUUAACACCCGCUAAGUGUUUUGGAGCAGCCUGACGCUUGGCCCCCACUAGGCGUCAGUCGGCAUACCAGAGGGGACUCUCAUCCUGAAAGCAUAAGGGUCUCCUCCCCCCGAAAAUCCGAGCAGACCAAGUCUGCCUUUACAUAACCGCAAGACCCAUACUGGCCUCGUGGUCUAAUGUGGAAAGAUGCCCCCAGUUCUCAUUGAAUACAUAGGACGGGGAGAUGGCGGUUCAAAUCCGCUCGGGGCUACCAUCCUGGCCAAGGACAAUGGCAUAUGGGAAUGCACACCGGUCGCGCCAUUUGGCACCGGGCAUUUUCAUUAGCCAAAGCCCUGCGUGCUCAGGAGUGUGCGGCGAACGGACUCUGCAGAGGUGGUUCUUCCUCCUUUAACAGUUUAGUGUUUCUUCAUAUAGUUGCAACUUACCGAAGCAGAGUCCAAGCUCCUUAUUUUGCCGGCAGGUCGUAAUCCGAUACGACCUGCCAAUUCCAAACUGAACAUAGUGAUAUACGAAGAUACGGGUACUAGCCCAAUGCUUGAUGGUGUUGCGUGUUUACAUAAUUUUUAUGUUGGUUGGCGGACUUGUCCGACACCCGGCAUAAAAAGAGUCGCUAGUAACGAACUCAUAAUGAUAAAACCUAGGAGCGAGUAAAGAAAAAGUUUACUUUUUCUUUCGAGCGACGCUGGUUUUAUGUCUUGCUUGCAAGAGAUAAAACCUAUAGAUCUUAGCAGAAGCGCUUGAAUGGCGCGCCAAAGAGGGUGAAAGCCCCGUAAGCGAAAAGGUCUUAGGCAUUAUAUAUGUUUUCACAAGUAGGACGGGGCACGAGAAACCCUGUUUGAAUCCGGCAGGACCACCUGCCAAGACUAAAUAUGGUAAAUGAUCGAUAGCGAACUAGUACAGUGAUGGAAAGGUGAAAAGAACCCCGGGAGGGGAGUGAAAUAGAUCCUGAAACUUAUUGCCUACAAGGUGUCGGAGCGUUAUGCUUCACCUUGAAGACAAAGCCACCUUUUUUCAAAUAAAUUUCGUUUUCAAGAAAAAAUUCUAGGAAGGGCAGAACAUUAUGGUGACGGUGGAGUCGCUGCCCCACCAACUUGAAAUAACGAAAUAAUAAUCAAUUUUUAGUAGCGGCUUUUGCCGACUGCUAAAAAUCGAAUCUUUUGAAAAAGAGGUGGAGAAAAAACUUUUAAAAGUUUUGUCUCCAAAGCGAAGCGUAAUGUGACGGCGUGCUUUUUGUAGAACGAUCCAGCGAGUUAAUGUUGUCGGCAAGGCUAAGUCAUAUGAUGGAGCCACAGUGAAAGCGAGCCUUAAUAGGGCGACAAGUCGGCAGUAUUAGACCCGAAACCGGGUGACCUAACCAUGAGCAGGUUGAAGCUGCAGUAACAUGCAGUGGAGGACCGAACCAGGACACGCAGUAAAGUGUUUGGAUGACUUGUGGUUAGCGGUGAAAUGCCAAUCGAACUCGGAGAUAGCUGGUUCUCCUCGAAAUAGCUUUAGGGCUAGCGUUGUUUAACUAUUCAAUGGGGGUAGAGCUCUGAAAGGGUUCGGGGCCGGCAACGGUACCCACCCCUAUCAAACUACGAAUACCAUUGAAACUACAACAGCAGUCAGAACGACGGGGCUAAGCUCGUCGCUCAAAAGGGAAACAGCCCAGACCAUCGUCUAAGGUCCCUAAAUAUAUACUAAGUGGGAAACAAGGUGAGAUUUCUUAAACAGCUAGGAUGUUGGCUUAGAAGCAGCCAUUCAUUUAAAGAGUGCGUAACAGCUCACUAGUCAAGAGAUUUUGCGUGGAAAAUGUAACGGGGCUCAAGUAUAUUACCGAAGACAUGGAUAUGUCGCUUCACCUAAGCGGACGAAACUUCAGAAAUCUAUGAUUUCUGAAUAAAAAACAAUUUUUAGUAGCGGCUUUUGCCGACUGCUAAAAAUCUUUCUCUUUGAAAAAGAGGAAGAGAAAAAACUUUUUAAAGUUUUGUCUCUUAAGCGAAGCGAUAUGUGGUAGAGGAGCGUUGAUAUUGCGGCGAAGUAGACUUGGAAAGGUCUGUGGAGCGGUAUCAAGUGAGAAUGCUGGAAUCAGUAACCAUAAGACAGGUGAGAAUCCUGUCGGUCGUAAGAGCAAGGUUUCCAGGGCCACUGUAAUAGUCCCUGGGUUAGUCGGUCCUAAGCCGAGGCGCAUCAGCGUAGGCGAUGGACAUCAGGUUAAUAUUCCUGAACUUGUAACAGUUGUUUAGACUUCACGGUAUGUGACCGGAGCGGUUUUAUGGUAUAACCGUCCAACGACCUCGGGAACGAGGAAGGAGUGAAAGUUAGCCCUCGGGCUGACGAUUCUGGGUAAAGUGCUGGCUAGAAAAGGUCGUAAACUUAUGCUGUUGCAAACCGUACCGCAAACCAACACAGGUGCUCGGGUCGAGUAGACCAAGACCUACGAGAGAACCUUCGCUAAGGAACUCGGCAAAAAAGCGUCCGUAACUUCGGAAUAAGGACUGCCCUCUCAUCAAACAGAGGAUUUGCUAGUUAACUCAGCGAGAAACCUCCCUCCUGUCAUCCUGAACUUGUUUCAGGAUCCAGAAAGUGGAGCAGAUAGAGUUACAAGUUUGUAUCUUUUAAGUAUUAUCAAGUUUCUUUGUUGAGACAGAACAACACAAAUUGUUCUUUAACUAGUGACUCAAUCAUCUUUUUGAUGAGAGGGCCGCAGCUAAAGAGCCCACGGAACUGUUUAUCAAAAACACAGGUCUCUGCUAACGCGAAAGCGGAUGUAUAGGGGCUGACUCCUGCCCAGUGUCGGAAGGUUAAGGGGAGAACUUCACGGUUCGAACUGAAGCCCCGAUGAACGGCGGCGAUAACUAUGAUCGUCCUAAGGUUUUGCGCAUCUCUAUGAGGUACGCAGAAGGACUAGGACGGUUGUGACUUAGGAGUGAACCUAAGUAAGGAAGAAUGUUGCCUAGUUUACUUACGUAAGCUGUAAUCUGGCCAAAUGCUGAAAAACCCGGUGUAUCUGACGGUACUUGUGUGA